CCUACGGGUGGCAGCAGUGGGGGAUAUUGCACAAUGGGGGAAACCCUGAUGCAGCGACGCCGCGUGUGGGAAGACGGUCCUCUGGAUUGUAAACCACUGUCCCCAGGGACGAAGAUGACGGUACCUGGGGAGGAAGCUCCGGCUAACUACGUGCCAGCAGCCGCGGUAAUACGUAGGGAGCGAGCGUUGUCCGGAAUUACUGGGUGUAAAGGGCGUGUAGCCGGGCUGACAAGUCAGAUGUGAAAUCCGGGGGCUCAACCCCCGAACUGCAUUUGAAACUGUUGGUCUUGAGUAUCGGAGAGGCAGGCGGAAUUCGUGGUGUAGCGGUGAAAUGCGUAGAUAUUAGGAGGAACACCAGUGGCGAAGGCGGCCUGCUGGACGACAACUGACGGUGAGGCGCGAAAGCGUGGGGAGCAAACAGGAUUAGAUACCCCAGUAGUC
rnacentral:rRNA from 1 species